rnacentral:rRNA from 1 species
UGGGGAAUAUUGCGCAAUGGGGGGAACCCUGACGCAGCCAUGCCGCGUGAAUGAAGAAGGCCUUAGGGUUGUAAAGUUCUUUCGGUAUUGAGGAAGGUUGAUGUGUUAAUAGCACAUCAAAUUGACGUUAAAUACAGAAGAAGCACCGGCUAACUCCGUGCCAGCAGCCGCGGUAAUACGGAGGGUGCGAGCGUUAAUCGGAAUAACUGGGCGUAAAGGGCACGCAGGCGGUUAUUUAAGUGAGGUGUGAAAGCCCCGGGCUUAACCUGGGAAUUGCAUUUCAGACUGGGUAACUAGAGUACUUUAGGGAGGGGUAGAAUUCCACGUGUAGCGGUGAAAUGCGUAGAGAUGUGGAGGAAUACCGAAGGCGAAGGCAGCCCCUUGGGAAUGUACUGACGCUCAUGUGCGAAAGCGUGGGGAGCAAACAGGAUUAGAUACCCUGGUAGUCCACGCUGUAAACGCUGUCGAUUUGGGGGUUGGGGUUUAACUCUGGCGCCCGUAGCUAACGUGAUAAAUCGACCGCCUGGGGAGUACGGCCGCAAGGNUA